GCCUGGGUGGCUCAGUCGGUUGAGCGUCCGACUUCAGCUCAGGUCACGAUCUCAUGGUUCGUGGGUUCAAGCCCCACAUCAGGUU
rnacentral:tRNA from 1 species